UGUANGAGGCACGNGGNAGGCCUAACACAUGCAAGUCGAGGGGUAGCAGGAUUAAGCUUGCUUAAUUGCUGACGACCGGCGCACGGGUGCGUAACGCGUAUGCAACCUACCUUAUACUGGGGUAUAGCCCGGAGAAAUUCGGAUUAAUCCCCCAUAGUACUAUUUAACCGCAUGGUUGAAUAGUUAAAGUAUUGCGGUAUAAGAUGGGCAUGCGUCCUAUUAGCUAGAUGGUGAGGUAACGGCUCACCAUGGCUACGAUAGGUAGGGGGCCUGAGAGGGUGGUCCCCCACACUGGUACUGAGACACGGACCAGACUCCUACGGGAGGCAGCAGUGAGGAAUAUUGGUCAAUGGGCGCAAGCCUGAACCAGCCAUGCCGCGUGCAGGAAGAAUGCCCUAUGGGUUGUAAACUGCUUUUAUUUGGGAAUAAACCUCUUUACGUGUAGAGAGCUCAA
rnacentral:rRNA from 1 species